rnacentral:rRNA from 1 species
AUUGAGCGCUGGCGGCAUGCCUUACACAUGCAAGUCGAACGGCAGCAUGAUCUCGCUUGCUAGAUUGAUGGCGAGUGGCGAACGGGUGAGUAAUACAUCGGAACGUGCCCUGUAGUGGGGGAUAACUAGUCGAAAGAUUAGCUAAUACCGCAUACGACCUGAGGGUGAAAGUGGGGGACCGCAAGGCCUCAUGCUAUAGGAGCGGCCGAUGUCUGAUUAGCUAGUUGGUGAGGUAAAGGCUCACCAAGGCGACGAUCAGUAGCUGGUCUGAGAGGACGAUCAGCCACACUGGGACUGAGACACGGCCCAGACUCCUACGGGAGGCAGCAGUGGGGAAUUUUGGACAAUGGGCGAAAGCCUGAUCCAGCAAUGCCGCGUGUGUGAAGAAGGCCUUCGGGUUGUAAAGCACUUUUGUCCGGAAAGAAAUGGCUCUGGUUAAUACCUGGGGUCGAUGACGGUACCGGAAGAAUAAGGACCGGCUAACUACGUG